rnacentral:lncRNA from 1 species
CCAAUUUUUCCUUCUCAACAUUUUCCAAGGAAGGCUAAGCAUCUCCAUAGCUCAGGAUCUUGGUGCAGCUUUCCGAGAAAACUACACAGCUACACACUACAUGCUACACGUGUUUUCCAAGAGGACAGCCAGUAAGAGAUUAGUCUCCUGGAGCAAAUGAUGCUCCCCAUGUCUCCCUCCACUCCAUACCCCUUCUCUCUACUCAUCUGCUGCUGCUUCUUUA